rnacentral:rRNA from 1 species
UACGUAGGGGGCAAGCGUUGUCCGGAUUUAUUGGGCGUAAAGAGCGUGUAGGCGGUUAGGUAGGUCCGUUGUGAAAACUCGAGGCUCAACCUCGAGACGCCGAUGGAAACCAUCUGACUAGAGUCCGGAAGAGGAGAGUGGAAUUCCUGGUGUAGCGGUGAAAUGCGCAGAUAUCAGGAGGAACACCUGCGGUGUAGACGGCUUACUGGACCAUCACUGACGCUGAGGCACGAAAGCGUGGGUAGCAAACAGG